rnacentral:rRNA from 1 species
AACGAACGCUGGCGGCAUGCCUAACACAUGCAAGUCGAACGAGACCUGCGGGUCUGGUGGCGCACGGGGGCGUAACGCGGGGGAACCUGCCCUUAGGUUCGGAAUAACUCCCCGAAAGGGGUGCUAAUACCGGAUAAUGUCUUCGAACCAAAGAUUUAUCGCCUUUGGAUGAGCCCAGGUUUGACGAGCUAGUUGGGAGGGUAAAAGCCUACCAAGGCUACGAUCCAUAACUGGUCUGAGAGGAUGAUCAGCCACACUGGAACAGAGACACGGCCCAGACUCUUGCAGUGAGACGCAGUGGGGAAUAUUAGGGGAGGCAGGAGUGGCGGAUCUAGGAAAACCGGGGAAAGGAUGAAGCAGCACUGACGGGAGAGUGGUGAAGGUCUUAGGGAUGUACAGCACUUUUACCCGGGAUGAUAAUGACAGUACCGAGAGAAUAAGCUCCGGCUAACUCCGUG